GGGACGCAUGUAUCGCUGCAGUGUGGGCAGUAUCAGAGGGAAAGAGAUAGGAUGAGAUCUUGUAUGAGGGAGAAGGGGAUACAGGAAAUUAGUUGAAAUAGUAUAUUGAGUAGAAUUAUUAGAUAUAGUCUCAAAUAUUUUGUUAUCUUUUUUAAGAGCAACGGUAUAAUGUUGUUCCUCCCUGUCUCUAGCCCACAAUACAGUAGGUGGCGGUAAUGCACCAUAACUUUGGAUGCCAACCGCCGAUAAACCCCACCGAAGAAGAAGACGAAUCAAAACCCAGAAGUGAAAUGUAAGGGACCUUUGAAGAAGGCCCCAGCCUCUGUCUCCAGCAUUCCCGAACUCUUACACUUGACUGGCUUCUUGGAACAGAACAGCUUUAAAGAGCCAUGGUGGCCUAAAGAGUCCGAACAAGCCCAUAGAAGGACGAUACCUAAUUAGCAGGGUUGAAUGGCCACGGUGACACUGUGAAUACAACUGUUUAACUGAAUAGAUCAUCACCAUUCUGAGUGCUGCCCUCUCCCCAGACAGAGAGACAAUAGCACAUUGUUUAACAAACUAGCACUUAUUAUGCUAUUGUUGUCUGUGUUUCCAGACCAUGUCAUCACUAUUGUCUGUGUUCUAAUCCUGUCAUCACUAUUGUUGUCUGUAUUCCAAAUCCUGUCAUCACUAUUGCUGGUCUUUGGUGAAAAUAAAUCAGUGUAAAAUAUG